GAGUUUGAUCAUGGCUCAGGACGAACGCUGGCGGCGUGCCUAAUACAUGCAAGUAGAACGCUGAAGAGAGGAGCUUGCUCUUCUUGGAUGAGUUGCGAACGGGUGAGUAACGCGUAGGUAACCUGCCUUGUAACGGGGGAUAACUAUUGGAAACGAUAGCUAAUACCGCAUAACAAUAGGUGACACAUGUCAUUUAUUUGAAAGGGGCAAUUGCUCCACUACAAGAUGGACCUGCGUUGUAUUAGCUAGUAGGUGAGGUAACGGCUCACCUAGGCGACGAUACAUAGCCGACCUGAGAGGGUGAUCGGCCACACUGGGACUGAGACACGGCCCAGACUCCUACGGGAGGCAGCAGUAGGGAAUCUUCGGCAAUGGGGGCAACCCUGACCGAGCAACGCCGCGUGAGUGAAGAAGGUUUUCGGAUCGUAAAGCUCUGUUGUAAGUCAAGAACGAGUGUGAGAGUGGAAAGUUCACACUGUGACGGUAGCUUACCAGAAAGGGACGGCUAACUACGUGCCAGCAGCCGCGGUAAUACGUAGGUCCCGAGCGUUGUCCGGAUUUAUUGGGCGUAAAGCGAGCGCAGGCGGUUUGAUAAGUCUGAAGUUAAAGGCUGUGGCUCAACCAUAGUUCGCUUUGGAAACUGUCAAACUUGAGUGCAGAAGGGGAGAGUGGAAUUCCAUGUGUAGCGGUGAAAUGCGUAGAUAUAUGGAGGAACACCGGUGGCGAAAGCGGCUCUCUGGUCUGUAACUGACGCUGAGGCUCGAAAGCGUGGGGAGCGAACAGGAUUAGAUACCCUGGUAGUCCACGCCGUAAACGAUGAGUGCUAGGUGUUGGAUCCUUUCCGGGAUUCAGUGCCGCAGCUAACGCAUUAAGCACUCCGCCUGGGGAGUACGACCGCAGGGUUGAAACUCAAAGGAAUUGACGGGGGCCCGCACAAGCGGUGGAGCAUGUGGUUUAAUUCGAAGCAACGCGAAGAACCUUACCAGGUCUUGACAUCCCGAUGCUAUUUCUAGAGAUAGAAAGUUACUUCGGUACAUCGGUGACAGGUGGUGCAUGGUUGUCGUCAGCUCGUGUCGUGAGAUGUUGGGUUAAGUCCCGCAACGAGCGCAACCCCUAUUGUUAGUUGCCAUCAUUCAGUUGGGCACUCUAGCGAGACUGCCGGUAAUAAACCGGAGGAAGGUGGGGAUGACGUCAAAUCAUCAUGCCCCUUACGACCUGGGCUACACACGUGCUACAAUGGUUGGUACAACGAGUUGCGAGUCGGUGACGGCAAGCUAAUCUCUUAAAGCCAAUCUCAGUUCGGAUUGUAGGCUGCAACUCGCCUACAUGAAGUCGGAAUCGCUAGUAAUCGCGGAUCAGCACGCCGCGGUGAAUACGUUCCCGGGCCUUGCACACACCGCCCGUC
rnacentral:rRNA from 1 species